GACGAACGCUGGCGGCGUGCUUAACACAUGCAAGUCGAGCGGUAAGGCCCUUUCGGGGGUACACGAGCGGCGAACGGGUGAGUAACACGUGGGUGACCUGCCCUCAGCUCUGGGAUAAGCCUGGGAAACUGGGUCUAAUACCGGAUAUGACUCCAUGACGCAUGUUGUGGGGUGGAAAGCCUUGUGCGGCUGGGGAUGGGCCCGCGGCCUAUCAGCUUGUUGGUGGGGUGAUGGCCUACCAAGGCGACGACGGGUAGCCGGCCUGAGAGGGCGACCGGCCACACUGGGACUGAGACACGGCCCAGACUCCUACGGGAGGCAGCAGUGGGGAAUCUUGCGCAAUGGGCGAAAGCCUGACGCAGCGACGCCGCGUGAGGGAUGACGGCCUGGU
rnacentral:rRNA from 1 species